rnacentral:rRNA from 1 species
AGCGAACGCUGGCGGCAGGCCUAAAACAUGCAAGUCGAGCGCCGUAGCAAUACGGAGCGGCAGACGGGUGAGUAACACGUGGGAACGUACCCUUUGGUUCGGAACAACCCAGGGAAACUUGGGCUAAUACCGGAUAAGUCCGCAAGGAGAAAGAUUUAUCGCCGAAGGAUCGGCCCGCGUCUGAUUAGCUUGUUGGUGAGGUAACGGCUCACCAAGGCGACGAUCAGUAGCUGGUCUGAGAGGAUGAUCAGCCACACUGGGACUGAGACACGGCCCAGACUCCUACGGGAGGCAGCAGUUAGGAAUCUUGGACAAUGGGCGCAAGCCUGAUCCAGCCAUGCCGCGUGAGUGAUGAAGGCCUUAGGGUUGUAAAGCUCUUUCAGCGGGGAAGAUAAUGACGGUACCCGCAGAAGAAGCCCCGGCUAACUUCGUGCCAGCAGCCGCCGUAAGAC